rnacentral:rRNA from 1 species
CCUCGAUGUCGGCUCAUCACAUCCUGGGGCUGAAGUAGGUCCCAAGGGUAUGGCUGUUCGCCAUUUAAAGUGGUACGCGAGCUGGGUUUAGAACGUCGUGAGACAGUUCGGUCCCUAUCUGCCGUGGGCGCUGGAGAAUUGAGGGGGGCUGCUCCUAGUACGAGAGGACCGGAGUGGACGCAUCACUGGUGUUCGGGUUGUCAUGCCAAUGGCACUGCCCGGUAGCUAAAUGCGGAAGAGAUAAGUGCUGAAAGCAUCUAAGCACGAAACUUGCCCCGAGAUGAGUUCUCCCUGAGACUUUAAGUCUCCUGAAGGAACGUUAAAGACGAUGACGUUGAUAGGCCGGGUGUGUAAGCGCAGCGAUGCGUUGAGCUAACCGGUACUAAUGAACCGUGAGGCUUAACCUU